rnacentral:rRNA from 1 species
UCGGGAAUUUUGCGCAAUGGGCGAAAGCCUGACGCAGCAACGCCGCGUGAGGGAUGAAGGCCUUCGGGUUGUAAACCUCUUUUCUCAGGGAAGAUGAUGACGGUACCUGAGGAAUAAGCCACGGCUAACUACGUGCCAGCAGCCGCGGUAAUACGUAGGUGGCAAGCGUUGUCCGGAUUUACUGGGCGUAAAGAGCGCGCAGGCGGUCGGUCAAGUCGAGUGUGAAGCCCCCGGCUCAACUGGGGAGGGUCAUUCGAUACUGAUCGACUCGAAGGCAGGAGAGGGAAGUGGAAUUCCCGGUGUAGUGGUGAAAUGCGUAGAUAUCGGGAGGAACACCAGUGGCGAAGGCGACUUCCUGGCCUGUUCUUGACGCUGAGGCGCGAAAGCUAGGGGGAGCGAAACGGGAUUAGAUACCCCCGGUAGUCCUAGCCGUAAACGAUGGACACUAGGUGUUGGUGGUAUCAACCCCGCCAGUGCCGAAGCUAACGCAUUAAGUGU